rnacentral:rRNA from 1 species
UUAAGUAGUAAAGGGCGCACGGAGGAUGCCUUGGCACUAGGAGCCGAAGAAGGACGUGACAAACGACGAAAUGCUACGGGGAGCUGUAAGUAAGCAAAGAUCCGUAGAUAUCCGAAUGGGGGAACCCACCGCUUUUAAAAGGGCGGUACGCGAAAGCGAGGUAACGCAGGGAACUGAAACAUCUAAGUACCUGUAGGAAGAGAAAGAAAAAUCGAUUUCCUAAGUAGCGGCGAGCGAAAAGGAAAGAGCCCAAACCAAUGUGCUUGCAUAUUGGGGUUGUAGGACUCUCAACAAAGUGUAUGACAAAGUAUAGUAGAACUAGCUGGAAAGUUAGACCGUAGAAGGUAAAAGUCCUGUAUACGAAAUGCUAAGUUGGCGCGAGAGAGCACCUGAGUACGGCGGAACACGAGGAAUUCCGUCGGAAUCUACCAGGACCAUCUGGUAAGGCUAAAUACUACCUAGUGACCGAUAGUGAACCAGUACCGUGAGGGAAAGGUGAAAAGAACCCCGGGAGGGGAGUGAAAGAGAACCUGAAACCGUGUGCUUACAAGUAGUCAGAGCCCUUAAGGGGGUGAUGGCGUGCCUUUUGUAGAAUGAACCGGCGAGUUACUUUAUCAUGCGAGGUUAAGUGGAAGACAUGGAGCCGCAGCGAAAGCGAGUCUUAAUAGGGCGAAAUAGUAUGAUGGAGUAGACCCGAAACCAAGUGAUCUACCCAUGGCCAGGUUGAAGUUUAGGUAACACUGAAUGGAGGACCGAACCAGGACACGUUGAAAAGUGUUUGGAUGAGCUGUGGGUAGCGGAGAAAUUCCAAUCGAACUUGGAAAUAGCUGGUUCUCUCCGAAAUAGCUUUAGGGCUAGCCUCGUUGUGAGUUUACUGGAGGUAGAGCACUGUUUGGACUAGGGGCCCAUCCCGGGUUACCGAAUUCAGACAAACUCCGAAUGCCAGAUAAAUAUCAACGGGAGUCAGACUGCGGGUGAUAAGGUUCGUAGUCGAAAGGGAAACAGCCCAGACCGCCAGCUAAGGUCCCAAAUUGUAUGUUAAGUGGAAAAGGAUGUGAUGAUGCACAGACAACCAGGAUGUUGGCUUAGAAGCAGCCACCAUUUAAAGAGUGCGUAAUAGCUCACUGGUCGAGUGACAUCGCGCCGAAAAUGUACCGGGGCUAAACAUACAACCGAAGCUGCGGAUAUAACUAAUGUUAUAUGGUAGGAGAGCGUUCUAACAUCGUAGAAGCCGAGCUGUAAGGCGAGGUGGAGAGGUUAGAAGUGAGAAUGCCGGUGUGAGUAGCGAAAGAUAGGUGAGAAUCCUAUCCACCGAAAGACUAAGGUUUCCAGAGGAAGGCUCGUCCGCUCUGGGUAAGUCGGGACCUAAGGUGAAGCCGAAUGGUGAAGCCGAUGGACAACAGGUAGAAAUUCCUGUACCACCAAAUAUCGUUUGAGAGAAGUGGGGACAGAGGAGGCUAAUUGAUCGUCCUGAUGGAAUAGGACGUCUAAGCACAAAGGUUGAGUAGUAGGCAAAUCCGCUACUUGGUAAGACUGAAGUGUGAUGGGGAGCGAAAUUAAAGUAGCGAAGUCAAUGAAGCCAAACUCUCAAGAAAAGCCGCUAUCGAGAUAAGAGGUGCCCGUACCGCAAACCGACACAGGUAGUUGGGAAGAGAAUUCUAAGGUGAGCGAGAGAACCAUCGUUAAGGAACUCGGCAAAAUGACCCCGUAACUUCGGGAGAAGGGGUGCCUACGAGAGUAGGCCGCAGUGAAUAGGCCCAAGCGACUGUUUAACAAAAACACAGGUCUCUGCAAAACCGAAAGGUGAAGUAUAGGGGCUGACGCCUGCCCGGUGCUGGAAGGUUAAGAGGAGUGCUUAGAGGUAACUCGAAGGUAUGAAUUGAAGCCCCAGUAAACGGCGGCCGUAACUAUAACGGUCCUAAGGUAGCGAAAUUCCUUGUCGGGUAAGUUCCGACCCGCACGAAAGGCGUAAUGAUUUGGGCACUGUCUCAACGAGAGACUCGGUGAAAUUUUAGUACCUGUGAAGAUGCAGGUUACCCGCGAC